GACGAACGCUGGCGGCGUGCUUAACACAUGCAAGUCGAACGGAAAGGCCCUGCUUUUGUGGGGUGCUCGAGUGGCGAACGGGUGAGUAACACGUGAGUAACCUGCCCUUGACUUUGGGAUAACUUCAGGAAACUGGGGCUAAUACCGGAUAGGAGCUCCUGCUGCAUGGUGGGGGUUGGAAAGUUUCGGCGGUUGGGGAUGGACUCGCGGCUUAUCAGCUUGUUGGUGGGGUAGUGGCUUACCAAGGCUUUGACGGGUAGCCGGCCUGAGAGGGUGACCGGCCACAUUGGGACUGAGAGACGGCCCAGACUCCUGCGGGAGGCAGCAGUGGGGAAUAUUGCACAAUGGGCGGAAGCCUGAUGCAGCAACGCCGCGUGCGGGAUGACGGCCUUCGGGUUGUAAACCGCUUUCGCCUGUGACGAAGCGUGAGUGACGGUAAUGGGUAAAGAAGCACCGGCUAACUACGUG
rnacentral:rRNA from 1 species